rnacentral:rRNA from 1 species
GCUGGCGGCGUGCCUAAUACAUGCAAGUAGAACGCUGAAGACUGGUGCUUGCACUAGUCAGAUGAGUUGCGAACGGGUGAGUAACGCGUAGGUAACCUACCUCAUAGCGGGGGAUAACUAUUGGAAACGAUAGCUAAUACCGCAUGACAAUUAAGUACUCAUGUACUAAAUUUAAAAGGAGCAAUUGCUUCACUAUGAGAUGGACCUGCGUUGUAUUAGCUAGUUGGUGAGGUAACGGCUCACCAAGGCCACGAUACAUAGCCGACCUGAGAGGGUGAUCGGCCACACUGGGACUGAGACACGGCCCAGACUCCUACGGGAGGCAGCAGUAGGGAAUCUUCGGCAAUGGGGGCAACCCUGACCGAGCAACGCCGCGUGAGUGAAGAAGGUUUUCGGAUCGUAAAGCUCUGUUGUUAGAGAAGAACGGUAAUGGGAGUGGAAAAUCCAUUACGUGACGGUAACUAACCAGAAAGGGACGGCUAACUACGUGCCAGCAGCCGCGGUAAUACGUAGGUCUCGAGCGUUGUCCGGAUUUAUUGGGCGUAAAGCGAGCGCAGGCGGUUAUUUAAGUCUGAAGUUAAAGGCCGUGGCUCAACCAUGGUUCGCUUUGGAAACUGGAUAACUUGAGUGCAGAAGGGGAGAGUGGAAUUCCAUGUGUAGCGGUGAAAUGCGUAGAUAUAUGGAGGAACACCGGUGGCGAAAGCGGCUCUCUGGUCUGUAACUGACGCUGAGGCUCGAAAGCGUG